rnacentral:tRNA from 2 species
AGGGGCAUGGUCCAAUGGUAUGAUAACGGUCUCCAAAACCGCUGAUGGGAGUUCGAUUCUCUCUGCCCCUG